UCAAAAAUUUCUGUGAUAUACAUUGAAUUCCAUCAGAUUACGUCUACAUAAUAUUCCUAGUGGAACUUAUUACAUCUUAUAUUUUUGGAUCCAAUCCCUUAUGUGACAUACUGGAUUCCAGUAGACCAAGUUUACAGUACAAAUUAUUCCUUGUGGAUUUUAACACAUUACUAUUUUAGACAUAUUUUACCCCUGACGAAGUCCGAGUGGAUGAAACGCGUAGGAUUUAUCAAUUAUUGUAUACUAUCCCUUUGCUUUGAGUAUUCCUCCAAGAGCUCACACCGUUAAGGUGAGGAGGAUUACCUGGUAACAUCUAAAGCAUCUUGGUGUGUGUCCAAAUAAUUGUUGUCUUAUGAUGUUUU